UUGAGUUUCCAGAAUACACCUGAGUCUCUCUCACUCCCAUCUAUCCUACUCAUGCUUUAUCAACUUAGUACAUAAAAGCAGUUUGUUAGUAUCUUUGCUUUUUUUUAGAUACUAAUUCAUGAUCUUCCUCCAAGAUGGCUAGAGAAAUGGCCCAGGAAAUCAGCUUUUGUUAGACUUGCUGGUGAAGGAGAUUGGUCCCAUCAAUUUAAGGUUGUAGCUUUACUCAGGAUUUACCGUUUCCAUGUAUAGUUUUUUAACUAUGCUUCCCUGGCUAAGAAUGUCACAUAUUGUAUGUAUAUAGCUGGUGGUUCAAUGGCGGGAACCAUACAUGAAACCUUCCUUGCAAUAUACUUUUCCCUUUGCUAUGUAGAAUAACUGAUGCCCUGCCUGAUGUGUUUGUGUGGUGUAUUGUUCUAGAUUCUUAUUAUCUGUAUUGAUAAUGCCACAGUUUUUUCUGCCUUUGUAGAUGAAGAGUAGCGAAUUGUUUGGACUGAAUUCUGAAUAUGCUGCAUUUGUGCCAUGUGAGAGAAAUAGCAUAUUGUUAUCAUCUUGAAAUAGUAGACAAAAAUGUACAUUGAGGAGCUGGUCACUUCAGUACAGACUACAGAGAGAUGACGGCUUGAGAUAUAGUCGCAGUACCAUCAUUGGCUGCAAGAAUUUGCUCCCUGGAAGCGGAAAUGUCAAGACGGUAGCCUCAUAUUUUCCCCUCACGUGAUGAAUUCAUAAAAGAACAAUAUUUUGGUUGUCCAUGCAAUCCAACAAUUGAAUGCAGUAUUUUGCUCAUACAAGAGAAGCAACCAAAGAUCAUACAUCAGCUACAGAGCUCCGCUGUCUCCAUUCCCGUCUGCACGCUGCUGCCUCUAUCCUCUUCCCCUCUUCUUGGUGCAUAUAGUGCCUGGCUGGUCGGACGCUUUUGAUUGCUGGCCUACGGUUUGAGGUAAAAAUGUUUUGGGCAGAUCGCAAAUGGAAGAAUCACAGCGCACAUAAAACUAAGGGCACUAUCAUGUUUUGAGGUACAAGAUUUCGUGAUUUUUCUUCACAUUUGAUCUUUAAUCUCUUUUAUUCAUUUUCAUAAUAUAAGAUUGAUUAGAUGAGAUAUUGCUGCAUGCUUAUAUGCUUAAAAAAAGGUUCUUGAGGGGCUCUCCUGUGCAUUAUAUGAUUGUACCUCACUCUCCUUGUGUGCUCAAUGAAGAUGAAGAUACCCUUUAUUUCCUACAGUGGCUUGGGAAGGGGAGUAAUACCGUUACUUACUGGGUAAAAGGCCAGAGAAACGUUGUUGGGUUUGCUCCCAGUGUAGAGGUCUUCCAUGGCGGUGCAGGGCCAAGGUCCUCCAUUUGGUGAUGGCAGUGGUGUUAGCAUUUGGUGGUGCACCUACAUUAGAUUUAUGUUUUCGAUGCGUUGUGGCCUCUAAAGAUCGAACUGCAACGAGAUUAUUUAGAUGUUAUAACUUUUGUACCUUCUAUUAUUGUCAAAAGGAAAUACAGAAUGUUAGUUAUUGUAGUAUAUUUAGCUAUUUUCUUGAUUGUGUAUAAACAUUUCUGUUCUUUUCCAAA